rnacentral:pre_miRNA from 1 species
ACAACAACAUUCGGACCGUCGGUCUACCGAGCAAUAUCACCCGCUCAGUGGAAGAUCUUCCCUUUGUCGUAUAUU